UGACCCUCCAAGUUGGGAGUUUCGAGGACCCCCUGAACUUAGAGCUCCCGGGCCAUCUUUCCCUGAGAAUGAAGCCAACACAGGCAGGAUUGAGCUUAAAGUCUGAAUUGGAUGGUGUCUAGUGACAGCCUCUGAACUCCUGGACCCAACUACACCUGAAGCCACUGUACCCCACAUUUUCUAGGACUUUCCUGUGUGUAUGACUGCAUGGCUAAUAGCACAUCUCCUCGACACUGGUGCGGUUCUCGGAAUCCUAUCUAGAGCUUACAGCUUUCCCAGCCUCCUGGCUCCCUCCCCGUUUCCUCCCACACUGGUGAUCCCCCGAUGAAAUCCUCCUGCCCGUCAUCCUGUCUUGGCAUCUGCCUCGCGAUGACCCUGGGCUCACAGUCUGGCCACUGCAGCUGAGUGUCGCACUGGCUCAGGUGUGGCAACACGGGGGUUGAAAGGCUCUGAACCAGGCACCAGGAGCCCUGGGCCCCAGGCCAGCCCUCCGCAAACCAGCUUUGUGUCCUCGGACAACCCCAGGGACAUCCCAGGUCUUGCUGUCUGGAGAAAGGAGGAAGCUGGCCACACACUCUCCAAGAACGUUCAGCCUCCACACUGCAUGGCCUCUGCUUGGUUUCCAGCUGGGCCCAGGGCUCUGCCUGCAGCAUGGAGCCGCGGUGGUGGGUCCCCAUGCGAGCCCCCGCCACUGUCUGCUGUCAU
rnacentral:lncRNA from 1 species